UACGGGGGGGGCAAGCGUUGUUCGGAAUUACUGGGCGUAAAGGGCUCGUAGGCGGCCAACUAAGUCAGACGUGAAAUCCCUCGGCUUAACCGGGGAACUGCGUCUGAUACUGGAUGGCUUGAGUCCGGGAGAGGGAUGCGGAAUUCCAGGUGUAGCGGUGAAAUGCGUAGAUAUCUGGAGGAACACCGGUGGCGAAGGCGGCAUCCUGGACCGGCAUUGACGCUGAGGAGCGAAAGCCAGGGGAGCAAACGGG
rnacentral:rRNA from 1 species